AGUGAACGCUGGCGGUAGGCCUAACACAUGCAAGUCGAACGGCAGCACAGUAAGAGCUUGCUCUUACGGGUGGCGAGUGGCGGACGGGUGAGGAAUACAUCGGAAUCUACUUUUUCGUGGGGGAUAACGUAGGUAAACUUACGCUAAUACCGCAUACGACCUACGGGUGAAAGCAGGGGAUCUUCGGACCUUGCGCGAUUGAAUGAGCCGAUGUCGGAUUAGCUAGUUGGCGGGGUAAAGGCCCACCAAGGCGACGAUCCGUAGCUGGUCUGAGAGGACGAUCAGCCACACUGGAACUGAGACACGGUCCAGACUCCUACGGGAGGCAGCAGUGGGGAAUAUUGGAGAAUGGGCGCAAGCCUGAUCCAGCCAUACCGCGUGGGUGAAGAAGGCCUUCGGGUUGUAAAGCCCUUUUGUUGGGAAAGAAAAGCAGCAGGUUAAUACCCCGCUGUUCUGACGGUACCCAAAGAAUAAGCACCGGCUAACUUCGUG
rnacentral:rRNA from 1 species